AUUGAACGCUGGCGGCAGGCCUAACACAUGCAAGUCGAACGAGUGGCGGACGGGUGAGUAAUGCUUGGGAAUCUGGCUUAUGGAGGGGGAAAACGACGGGAAACUGUCGCUAACACCGCGUAACAUAGGAUGCGCCCAAGUGGGAUUAGGUAGUUGGUGGGGUAAUGGCCUACCAAGGCGACGACCUCUAGCUGGUCUGAGAGGAUGACCAGCCACACCGGGACUGAGACACGGCCCGGACUCCUACGGGAGGCAGCAGUGGGGAAUAUUGCGCAAUGGGGGCAACCUGACGCAGCCAUGCCGCGUGAGUGAAGAAGGCCUUCGGGUUGUAAAGUUCUUUCGGUGACGAGGCGUUAAUCACAGAAGAAGCACCGGCUAACUCCGUGCCAGCAGCCGCGGUAAUUC
rnacentral:rRNA from 1 species